GUGUAGGUGGUGGUUGUGACCUAUCUUCUGGUAGGUACCUUGUGACCUAGGGUUCAUGCUCAGGUCGGCCAGAUCCGUACCCGAGGCGGAUCUAAGCUGGUGCUUCGGGUAGGUGAGGUUGGGCUUGGCUCGGGGUGUGUUCGCGACCGACGCCAUCCUCUCGCAUGUGCAGUGGGAGCUGGUGGUUGUCGUGACAUCGUUGUUCUGGCCAUCGGAUCGGUGCCGGAGGCCAUAGACU
rnacentral:lncRNA from 1 species